ACGGGUGUGGCUCAGUAGUAGAGCACUUGCCUAGCAUGUAUGAGUCUCUGAGUUCCAUUCCCAGCACAAGAA
rnacentral:tRNA from 1 species